CAGUAACGGCGAGUGAAGCGGCAACAGCUCAAAUUUGAAAUCUGGCUCCUUCGGGGUCCGAAUUGUAAUUUGUAGAGAGUGCUUCGGGCGAGACCUCGGUCUAAGUCCAUUGGAACAUGGUGUCAUAGAGGGUGAGAAUCCCGUAUGCGACCGUGGCUCGAGCCCAUGUGAAGCCUCUUCGACGAGUCGAGUUGUUUGGGAAUGCAGCUCAAAACGGGUGGUAAAUUUCAUCUAAAGCUAAAUACUGGCUGGAGACCGAUAGCGCACAAGUAGAGUGAUCGAAAGAUGAAAAGCACUUUGGAAAGAGAGUCAAAACAGUACGUGAAAUUGUUGAAAGGGAAGCGCUUGCAACCAGACCUGCCCGUAGGCGAUCAGCCGCUGUUCUCAGCGGUGCACUCGCUCUGCGAUCAGGCCAGCAUCGGUUUCGGCGGUCGGAUAAAGGCCUUGGGAAUGUAGCUUCCCUUCGGGGGAGUCUUAUAGCCCUCGGUGUAAUGCGGCCAGCCGGGACCGAGGACCGCGCUUCGGCUAGGAUGCUGGCGUAAUGGUUGUAAGCGACCCGUCUUGAAACACGGACCAAGGAGUCUAACAUCUAUGCGAGUGUUUGGGUGUCAAACCCAUACGCGGAAUGAAAGUGAACGGAGGUGAGAACCCUUAAGGGCGCAUCAUCGACCGAUCCAGAUGUCUUCGGAUGGAUUUGAGUAUGAGCAUAGCUGUUGGGACCCGAAAGAUGGUGAACUAUGCCUGAAUAGGGUGAAGCCAGAGGAAACUCUGGUGGAGGCUCGCAGCGGUUCUGACGUGCAAAUCGAUCGUCAAAUUUGGGUAUAGGGGCGAAAGACUAAUC
rnacentral:rRNA from 1 species